rnacentral:tRNA from 1 species
AGUCGAGUAUAAAACGGUAGUAUUCCAGACUCUGGAUCUGGCUGCCCCAGUUCAAAUCUGGGCAGGGCUA